CUGGAGAGGGGAGGUGUCUGCCCUGUUCUCUGGCCUCCACUCUACCCUUCCUGCACCUGGAUCUUUCAGGGCCGUGGAAGCCAUGGGGUGGGAUGGGGCAGGAGCACCAAUUAUGUGCCAGACACUGUAUUUUAAAUGAAUGAAUGAAAGACAUGAGCUUCGGAAUGAUUCCUAGCUUUGGAAUUCAGGACUCCUCAGGACCUUGGGUCAAAGGAAAGGGAGGCCUAGGAAGAAGCUACACAAUCUGUCCAUGGUCACAAAUCUGAAGAUGAGAGGAGCUGGGAAUCAAAUGAAGUCUGACUGACUGCAAAGUGGAGACACUCCUUACUUCAUGCUGCCUCUUAAGCUCCUACUGGGCAAAUGCUUUCUGUGAAUUCAGCUUCAGAAAAUCUAUUGUAGGCUUUUGUGUCAGCCAGUUUUGCAUUACUGUAACAAAAUACCUGAGACAAAGAGCUUAAAAAGAGGAAAGAUUUAUUUUGGCUCACAGUUUGGGGAUUUAAGUCCUUGGUCAGUUGGUCUGUUGCUUUUGGGCUUGUGGUGAGGCAGCACAUCAUGAUGGAGAGUACUUGGUAUAAGAAGCCUUUACCGCAUGAUUGAAAGCUCAAGAGAAGAAGGAGGAGCAGGGUCUCAAUAUCCCCUUUAAGAGCAAGCAUACUCCUGAUGACCUGAAGAACUUCUCCUAGGUCUUAUCUUUUAAAAGUUCCACCACUUCCUAAUACUUCCAUGGGCUGGGUGCCAAACCUUUUUUGCCUGGGCCUUUGAGCAACAUUUAUCUAAACCCUAGCAUCUCUCAAUGCUGAAAGAUUAGAGACUCAAAAAAGAUCCAGGACAGUUUAUUUAUUAGAGCUCAUGCUCAUCCACGUCUCCAGUGUCCACUUACUUCACAGCUCCUACAGAAGCUGUACUGGUUUCCAUCGAACAUGACUGGACUUGCUCCUAGGACCAACUGAUGAAGUAAACUAACUGUGUAUAUUUUAAGAGUGUGUAUUAGGUGUGCAAAUGUAUGUGUGCUAGAUGUGGGUGUAUAUUUGGUGUAUAUAUGUGUGUGUGUGUGUGUGUGUGUGUGUGUGUGUGUAGGGAAUGUGUUGGACACUUGAUUCAGAAAGGCCUGAGAAGCAGCCAUGUUGUAGGUUUGCUGUUGGCAAAGGUCAGUGGAGCAGUGGAGUCAGUGGAAGGAACCUUCAAUUGCUUUGCUCCAUUGUUGUGAGGACAGGAAUGGAUAGUACAAUUCAUGUGUCUCCAACUUGGGGGUGGUCAUAACACUGAUUGUAUAGUCACACUUGUCAGGGCCUUAAGAAGUCCCAGAACAGCUAAGGUGUCCUAAGUUAUGGAUGCACAGUAAAUUAGAGUAUGCAGUUGCUUUUGAAAUUUAAAGAGAGCAUGAACAUGUUAUGGGAGAAAUAUAUAUUGUAGUGAUUAAGAACAUAGUCUCUGGAAGCAGAUGGUCUAUGUCCAAGUUCUGGCUCUGAUACUUGCUGGCUGUGUUACAUCAGGUGACUUGAGGUAUCCAUCAUACUGGAGGAAGACCAGGAUUUGUAAUAGAAGGAAUGCAAAAGCAAAACAAAACAAAACAAAAAACUUCUAUUGGCAUACAACAUAGAAUUAUUCAGAAGAAAAAAACUUUGCAAACCAGAUGUUGUCUUCAAAGAUUUCUAAAUUUCUUUAGAACUUCACAAAGCAGCCUGAUUGAAUCAAGGUAUUACAAUCUCUUGAUGUGUAGAUAAAAUACCCUUGUUUUACAUUAAGGCAUCUCUAAGAAGUAGAGUGGAAGACGCAGGGCAUCAUGCAGGGGACUGACCUUCUGGGGUCCCACGAAAUGGGGGAAAUAUGGUAGCUAGGAUGGGAGCAAGAGAGGGACAGGAAGUUGGGUGGAUGGAGAAAGAAGCAAGGAGGAGUGGGGAAAUCAACUUAGACUAAAUGAUCUUUGGCGCAGCAAGUAGGGAGCAUCUUGGAUAGUGGAGGUGCCACCAAGGGUAGAAGGGACUCUUGUUUUUUUAUCUCAUUUGAGACUCUGCUGAAUAGAGUGCCGUUCUGGGGUAUGACACAUUCACAUGGUGCGACCAGGCAGAGAUAACUCAAGGGUUAGCUUUCUUGAGCUAAACUUAUUUUCAGUGAGGUGCGAUGAACCCUGAAAAUAGCAGGGAUUUGACUGGAAAGCAUUACCAGUGGGAGUCACCAUGGUUGGGCAGGGUCAAGGUACCUUGUAAGCAAGGGCUGCAUGGUAAACCACUUGGGGCAGGCCAAGCAGGAAACAGCAAGUAGGAUGGAGUCUAGACCAACAGAGGAGACUAAAGGCCCAGAUAGAGCUAUUGUGAGGGCACCCAGCCAGGCAGCCAGUGGGAGAAAGCCCGGACUAUGUUACUAUCACACAGACCUUGACUGUGAAUCCUGUUAGGGCAGCAGCGGCCGGACGGCUCAGGGAUCCCCACACAACCUUGCCUGGAACAGCCAGAGGAAUGUUACUCUUCACCUGCUACAAAGUCACUGAAGCCCCACCUCUUCUCUUAGAACCAGAUGUCAUCUUGGAGAGGAGCCAGGAAGGGAGCCAGAAGACCGAUGUGUCUGAGAGACUAAACCUUUAUUUCCCCUUUGAGAGUAAACAUUGUUUGAAGGGACCAUUUAAAUUAUGGUGUUAUGCUAAGGUUCAAACCUGAUUAGCCAUUGAGGGAAUCAGAUUGCAUUUUUGAAUAUUUUCAAAAAUCAAAUCCAUUCUCAGAGGACACAGAUCAGCCAGUAUUGAAAGACUUCAAAAAAUAUACUAGUAUAUGACACCCACCCAAAUGUAUCCACCCAAAUGUAAAUGAAUGCAACUGUUCCAUACUUUCUUCUUUUGAGAUUUGUAAGCAUUGGAAAAAUAUAGAAAAUUACUGGUUAUUAGGAAAAAAGUUAUAGGCAAAACAAAGGGAAUGUGUGCUUGAUUGAUCUGUGGCCACCCUGGUGGCCAGUCCACUUUCUUCAAUUUUGGUGGGGCCAGGAAGCACAGUUAGCAAGAAGGUUGCAGAAUGCAUAAGUAUCAGGUGGAGGAGAGGAGGGGGACCAUGCAUUUCCCUCCCUGCUCCCUGGCCAAGGAGAUACCUUGCUGCCUACAGGUCCUGAGCCGCAGGCAGCGGAGGUCGGACUCUGAUUAUUCCAUGGGACUUACAAUGAUCCACUCGAAACAUUUUAAAAAAAAAGAGUAUAUGGAAUAUUUCCCUUAAAUUGUGUAAAUAUGAGCUCAUGAGCACUGUCCUAGUUUUCAUCUAGAGACAUUGGAGGAAUUUUCCCUAUUGAAAAUAUUUCAAAGGUUGACAGGUGAUAUAAAUAAAAGAACACACCCUGUGAGUGUGACUUGUUCACCAUACCAGUUACACACAGGGCGAUUCCUAUGGAAUAAUAUUAACCGAAAAGGCAAUACAUCGAUUUAUGAAAUAAGACUCAACUAUGUGAAAACAUUAAGAGAGAGGAUGUGGGGAAGAGAGGAGGGCAUGGUAGAGAUAGUAAAAGGUUCACAUUGCUUUUCCUGGAAAGGAAGGCUGAAGGACAAUCUUGUCCUCUGACCUCCCCACCAUCCUUCAUUCACACCCAUCCUGUGGUCUGGUGGCUUCCGUCUCAGAACCAUAACCAUGGAUAAUGGAUAAUGGACCAUAACCAGGAUAAUGGUUUACUCUGAUAGUAAACUACUCGAGUAAGAAAACCAUAUCUUUAUUUAACUUUCUUUCCCCAGGGUCCAGAAUAGGGCCUAGAACACAGUCAGUAUAGAAUAAAGUUAAACAUUAAUGAAAGAAAAGACAUGUUAUUAAAACAAAAAGUGAAUGAAGGAAGCUGAGGUCAAAUGCUUUAAGUUCCUUGAAGUGUGGUACUCUCUCUUCCCUCCUUCCUGAAUGUUAUGCUCACCUUUCCAAAUUGCCCCCAGCCCUGCAUUACUUAUUGGUGUGCUCAUAUUAAUUACUUAUACAUGAUUUGAGGAUAAGACCCAUAGAAUGAUAAUAAUAUUAGCUAUUAUUAUUGGGCACCUACUAUAUGCAGGGCAGUGCUGCACACACUCUAAAGCACAGCCAGGUCUUGUUAUAUGGCAGAUUCUGAUUCAGUAGGUGUUAUGGGUUAGAUAUGAGAUGUCCCUAAAAACUCAUGUGUGAGACAAUGCAAGAGGGUUCAGAGGAGAAAUGAUUGGGUCAUAUGUC